rnacentral:rRNA from 1 species
AUUGAACGCUGGCGGCAUGCCUUACACAUGCAAGUCGAACGGUAACAGGUUAAGCUGACGAGUGGCGAACGGGUGAGUAAUAUAUCGGAACGUGCCCAGUCGUGGGGGAUAACGUAGCGAAAGCUACGCUAAUACCGCAUACGAUCUACGGAUGAAAGCGGGGGAUCGCAAGACCUCGCGCGAUUGGAGCGGCCGAUAUCAGAUUAGGUUGUUGGUGAGGUAAAAGCUCACCAAGCCUGCGAUCUGUAGCUGGUCUGAGAGGAAGACCAGCCACACUGGAACUGAGACACGGUCCAGACUCCUACGGGAGGCAGCAGUGGGGAAUUUUGGACAAUGGACGCAAGUCUGAUCCAGCAAUGCCGCGUGCAGGACGAAGGCCUUCGGGUUGUAAACUGCUUUUGUACGGAACGAAACGGUGAGCUCUAAUACAGUUUGCUAAUGACGGUACCGUAAGGAUAAGCACCGGCUAACUACGUGCCAGCCGCCGCAGUAACAC